rnacentral:rRNA from 1 species
CGGACGGGUGAGUAACACGUGGAUAACCUACCUAUAAGACUGGGAUAACUUCGGGAAACCGGAGCUAAUACCGGAUAAUAUAUUGAACCGCAUGGUUCAAUAGUGAAAGACGGUUUUGCUGUCACUUAUAGAUGGAUCCGCGCUGCAUUAGCUAGUUGGUAAGGUAACGGCUUACCAAGGCAACGAUGCGUAGCCGACAUGAGAGGGUGAUCGGCCACACUGGAACUGAGACACGGUCCAGACUCCUACGGGGGGCAGCAGGG